rnacentral:lncRNA from 10 species
GACCCCUGAGAGGGUGGGACUUGCUCUUUCUUGGCAGGGAAGGGGUUGACCCUGCCGGGAUCUGGGUGCACAACAUGGCGACUCUGCCCAACAAGCCGCUGCCGCCCCCGGCAGGUCAGACGGCUGUAACCUUUUUAUUUUUUUUCUUUUUACUGACAUUUAUUUUGUUCAAAUAAAAUAUACUGUUUUCUUUUUUUUUCUUUUUGUUUUGAGACGGAGUCUCCCUCUGUCACAACCUCCUCCUUGUGGGUUCAAGCAAUUCUCCCACCUCAGCCUCCAGAGUAGCUGGGGCUACAGGCACAAGCCACCACGCCUGGUUAAUUUUUUUUUUUUUUUUGUAUUUUUGGUAGAGAUGGGGUUUCACCUUAUUACCCAGGCUGGUCUCAUACUCCCAAGCUCAGGCGAUCCUCCAACCUAGGCCUCCCAAAGUGCUGGGAUUACAGGCAUGAGCCACCGCACCUGGCCAAAAAAUUCUUAUUAGGUUGACAAUUUUAUAGCUGAAAAUUGAGUCUCAAAUAAGUUACAUAAUUUGUCUGAGCUCAAAUAGCAAUUAACGGGAAUGGAGCUCACCCAAAUCUCACGGCUUCAGGUGUACUAUUUGCAAAAAAUACAAAGACUCUGUGACCAUCAGGCUAUAAGCAAAGAUCUUCACCUCUUAAAAAGUCACGGAGCCGGGCACGGUGGCUCACGGUGGGAGGCCGAGGCAGGCGGAUCACCUGAGGUCAGGAGUUCGAGACCAGCCUGGUCCAAAUGAUGAAACCCCGUCUCUACUAAAAAUACAAAAAUUAGCCGGGUGUGGUGGUGGGCACCUGUAAUCCCAGCUACUCAGGAGGCUGAGGCAGGAAGUCGCUUGAACCUGGGAGGCGGAGCUUGCAGUGAGCAGAGAUCGCGCCACCACUGCACUCCAGCCUGGGUGACAGAGAGACUCCAUCUCAAAAAAAGAAAAGAAAAGAAAAAAAAAGUCAUGGAGCCCCACUACCGAAGUAGGACGGGGACAGAAUCAGCCAUGAUUUCGAGUUAAGAUGCUCUGGUUGGAAGCCUCCUGCACUGCCUUCUGUAACAGCACCAGCUGGACGUUGUCAUGAAAUGUCAC